rnacentral:rRNA from 1 species
AUUGAACGCUGGCGGCAUGCUUUACACAUGCAAGUCGAACGGUAACAGGCCGCAAGGUGCUGACGAGUGGCGAACGGGUGAGUAAUGCAUCUGAACGUGCCCAGUCGUGGGGGAUAACUACUCGAAAGAGUAGCUAAUACCGCAUACGAUCUAUGGAUGAAAGCGGGGGACCGUAAGGCCUCGCGCGAUUGGAGCGGCCGAUGUCAGAUUAGGUAGUUGGUGGGGUAAAGGCUCACCAAGCCAACGAUCUGUAGCUGGUCUGAGAGGACGACCAGCCACACUGGGACAGAGACACGGCCCAGACUCCUACGGGAGGCAGCAGUGGGGAAUGUUGGACAAUGGGCGCAAGCAUGAUCCAGCAAUGCCGCGUGCAGGAAGAAGGCCUUCGGGUUGUAAACUGCUUUUGUACGGAACGAAACGGCUCUGGUUAAUACCCGGGGCUAAUGACGGUACCGUAAGAAUAAGCACCGGCUAACUACGUG